rnacentral:rRNA from 1 species
AUGGAUCGUAGUCUAUCCAUUGUGUUCUGGAACGUGCGCGGGCUUAAUAGCCGCGCCAAACGCACGACAGUGCGCUCCGUUGUUUCCUCGGCCGACCCUUGUAUCGUGUGUUUGUCUGAAACAAAGCUGAAUUCUGUAUCGUCGCUGUCUGUCGUGGAGACGCUUGGCUCCCCCUUCACUGACUUCUUCUUCCUUCCGGCCGCGGGCACUUCUGGUGGAAUCCUCCUGGCCUGGCGUAGUGACCGCAUCUUCCUCGCCAACCCCAUCAUUGGGGUCUUUCACGUUUCUGCCACCGUCCCCACUGCCAUCGAUGCUACCCCAUGGUGGAUCACCGGGGUCUACGGGCCUCAAGGCACCACAGAGAAGCUGGCCUUCAUGGCCGAGCUUCACGAUCUGCGUGACAUGAUUGCCGGCCCUUGGCUUCUGGGCGCGACUUCAACAUGA